rnacentral:rRNA from 1 species
GAGUUUGAUCCUGGCUCAGGAUGAACGCUGGCGGCGUGCCUAAUACAUGCAAGUCGAGCGAACGGACGAGAAGCUUGCUUCUCUGAUGUUAGCGGCGGACGGGUGAGUAACACGUGGAUAACCUACCUAUAAGACUGGGAUAACUUCGGGAAACCGGAGCUAAUACCGGAUAAUAUUUUGAACCGCAUGGUUCAAAAGUGAAAGACGGUCUUGCUGUCACUUAUAGAUGGAUCCGCGCUGCAUUAGCUAGUUGGUAAGGUAACGGCUUACCAAGGCAACGAUGCAUAGCCGACCUGAGAGGGUGAUCGGCCACACUGGAACUGAGACACGGUCCAGACUCCUACGGGAGGCAGCAGUAGGGAAUCUUCCGCAAUGGGCGAAAGCCUGACGGAGCAACACCGCGUGAGUGAUGAAGGUCUUCGGAUCGUAAAACUCUGUUAUUAGGGAAGAACAUAUGUGUAAGUAACUGUGCACAUCUUGACGGUACCUAAUCAGAAAGCCACGGCUAACUACGUGCCAGCAGCCGCGGUAAUACGUAGGUGGCAAGCGUUAUCCGGAAUUAUUGGGCGUAAAGCGCGCGUAGGCGGUUUUUUAAGUCUGAUGUGAAAGCCCACGGCUCAACCGUGGAGGGUCAUUGGAAACUGGAAAACUUGAGUGCAGAAGAGGAAAGUGGAAUUCCAUGUGUAGCGGUGAAAUGCGCAGAGAUAUGGAGGAACACCAGUGGCGAAGGCGACUUUCUGGUCUGUAACUGACGCUGAUGUGCGAAAGCGUGGGGAUCAAACAGGAUUAGAUGCCCUGGUAGUCCACGCCGUAAACGAUGAGUGCUAAGUGUUAGGGGGUUUCCGCCCCUUAGUGCUGCAGCUAACGCAUUAAGCACUCCGCCUGGGGAGUACGACCGCAAGGUUGAAACUCAAAGGAAUUGACGGGGACCCGCACAAGCGGUGGAGCAUGUGGUUUAAUUCGAAGCAACGCGAAGAACCUUACCAAAUCUUGACAUCCUUUGACAACUCUAGAGAUAGAGCCUUCCUCUUCGGGGGACAAAGUGACAGGUGGUGCAUGGUUGUCGUCAGCUCGUGUCGUGAGAUGUUGGGUUAAGUCCCGCAACGAGCGCAACCCUUAAGCUUAGUUGCCAUCAUUAAGUUGGGCACUCUAAGUUGACUGCCGGUGACAAACCGGAGGAAGGUGGGGAUGACGUCAAAUCAUCAUGCCCCUUAUGAUUUGGGCUACACACGUGCUACAAUGGACAAUACAAAGGGCAGCGAAACCGCGAGGUCAAGCAAAUCCCAUAAAGUUGUUCUCAGUUCGGAUUGUAGUCUGCAACUCGACUACAUGAAGCUGGAAUCGCUAGUAAUCGUAGAUCAGCAUGCUACGGUGAAUACGUUCCCGGGUCUUGUACACACCGCCCGUCACACCACGAGAGUUUGUAACACCCGAAGCCGGUGGAGUAACCUUUUAGGAGCUAGCCGUCGAAGGUGGGACAAAUGAUUGGGGUGAAGUCGUAACAAGGUAGCCGUAUCGGAAGGUGCGGCUGGAUCACC